rnacentral:rRNA from 1 species
UAGUCCACGCCGUAAACGUUGGGCGCUAGGUGUGGGACUCAUUCCACGAGUUCUGUGCCGCAGCUAACGCAUUAAGCGCCCCGCCUGGGGAGUACGGCCGCAAGGCUAAAACUCAAAGGAAUUGACGGGGGCCCGCACAAGCGGCGGAGCAUGCGGAUUAAUUCGAUGCAACGCGAAGAACCUUACCAAGGCUUGACAUGUACCGGAAGUGCCCAGAGAUGGGUGCGCCUUUUGGCUGGUACACAGGUGGUGCAUGGUUGUCGUCAGCUCGUGUCGUGAGAUGUUGGGUUAAGUCCCGCAACGAGCGCAACCCUCGUUCUAUGUUGCCAGCACGUGAUGGUGGGGACUCAUAGGAGACUGCCGGGGGUCAAACGUCGGAGGAAGGUGGGGGAUGACGUCAAAUCAUCAUGCCCCUUACGUCUUGGGCUUCACGCAUGCUACAAUGGCCAGUACAAAGGGCUAGCGAUACCGUAAGGUGGAGCGAAUCCCAUAAAGCUGGU